UACGGGGGGGAGCAAGCGUUGUUCGGAUUUACUGGGCGUAAAGGGCGCGUAGGCGGCCACCGCAAGUCGGUUGUGAAAUCUCUGGGCUUAACCCAGAAAGGUCAAUCGAUACUGCGGGGCUAGAGUGCAGAAGGGGCAACCGGAAUUCUCGGUGUAGCGGUGAAAUGCGUAGAUAUCGAGAGGAACACCUGCGGCGAAGGCGGGUUGCUGGGCUGAUACUGACGCUGAGGAGCGAAAGCGUGGGGAGCGAACAGG
rnacentral:rRNA from 1 species